rnacentral:rRNA from 1 species
UACAGAGGUCCCAAGCGUUGUUCGGAUUCAUUGGGCGUAAAGGGUGCGUAGGUGGCGUCGUAAGUCGGGUGUGAAAUUUCGGAGCUUAACUCCGAAACUGCAUUCGAUACUGCGGUGCUCGAGGACUGGAGAGGAGACUGGAAUUCAUGGUGUAGCAGUGAAAUGCGUAGAGAUCAUGAGGAAGACCAGUGGCGAAGGCGGGUCUCUGGACAGUUCCUGACACUGAGGCACGAAGGCCAGGGGAGCAAACGGG